rnacentral:rRNA from 1 species
UUAAGCAUAUCACUGAGCGCAGGAGAAGAAACUAACCAGGAUUUCCCUAGUAACGGCGAGCGAACCGGAAAGAGCCCAGCUUGAAAAUCGUGGCGCCCCGGCGCCUCGAAUUGUAGUCUGGAGAAGGUCCCUCUGCGGCGCGCCGGACCCAAGUUCCCUGGAAAGGGACGCCAUCGAGGGUGAGAGCCCCGCUGAUUCCGGAGUGCGCCGCUCCACGAGGACCUGUCUGCGAGUCGGGCUGUUUGGGAAUGCAGCCCUAAGCGGGUGGUAAAUUCCAUCCAAGGCUAAAUAUUGGCAAGAGACCGAUAGCGAACAAGUACCGCGAGGGAAAGAUGAAAAGGACUUUGAAAAGAGAGUUAAAAAGUGCUUGAAAUUGCUGGGAGGGAAGCGAAUGGAAGCUGCGGGUGCGCCCCGGUUGGAUGUGGAACGGCUGUCAAAGGCUGGUCCGCCGCUCAACGCGGGGCGCUGGUCAGCGUGGGCCAUCGCGGCGGGACAAGAGCGGGGAUUCGCUUCCCGCCGAUGCCGCUGCGGUGGCCGAGGAACGAAGCGCGCGCUCUUCAUGGGCGUGGGACUUGUCCCAACUGCGCGCUCGGGACGCUGGCGUAUUGAGCUCUUCAUCCGACCCGUCUUGAAACACGGACCAAGGAGUCUAACAUGUAUGCGAGCCGGUGGGCGGCAAACCCAUUGAGGCGCAAGUAACCUGACAGGUGGGACCCCGACCGCAAGGGAGGGAGCACCAUCGACCGACCGUGAUCUUCUGUGAAGGGUUCGAGUUGUGAGCAA